rnacentral:rRNA from 1 species
GACGAACGCUGGCGGCGUGCUUAACACAUGCCAGUCGAACGGAAAGGCCCUGCUUUUGUGGGGUGCUCGAGUGGCGAACGGGUGAGUAACACGUGAGUAACCUGCCCUUGACUUUGGGAUAACUUCAGGAAACUGGGGCUAAUACCGGAUAGGAGCUCCUGCUGCAUGGUGGGGGUUGGAAAGUUUCGGCGGUUGGGGAUGGACUCGCGGCUUAUCAGCUUGUUGGUGGGGUAGUGGCUUACCAAGGCUUUGACGGGUAGCCGGCCUGAGAGGGUGACCGGCCACAUGGGGACUGAGAGACGGACCAGAAUGCUACGGGAGGCAGUAGGGGGGAAUAUUGCAGAAUGGGCGGAAGCCUGAUGCAGCAACGUCGCGUGCGGGAUGACGGCCUACGGGUUGUAAACCGCUUUCGCCGGUGACGAAGAGUGAGUGACGGUAAUGGGUAAAGAAGCAACGGCUAACUACGUG